rnacentral:lncRNA from 1 species
AAAGAGUCCUUCGUGUCGUGUUAAUGUGCAUUCAACUCACGCAGAGCCAUGUUUGUGACGCGAGGCUCUCUUCCCCACAAAACAGGUUUGUUCUAAGUCAAAAAGUUACACAGCUGCUCCAAACUGCGUUUGCUUGUUGGCCUACAGUAUUUAUUUCCUGCAUUUAUAUUUUGUUACAUUCAUUUUCAUCUAUUCAAAUAGGUUAAAGCAAACACUUGUAGUAUUUUGUACCAAUCAUACUUUAUAGCUGUCAUUACAGUAAAGGCACAGAAAACAAAAGUCAGAGAUAAGAAUGGAUUAUAUUGCUCUAUUUUAACCGUGUGACACGUCACUCAUAUUUGCUUGAAGCUCGUUGUUGAUGCAUAGCACACAUAUGUAUGUCAGUGUGUAUCUGAUUAAAAACAAACAACCCACCAUCAUUCCUUAUGUUUGGGAGCAGGCACACUUCCUUCACUUUAGCCCGCUUGGAACAAACAUGGAGAUUUUUGAGGGGCUAUGUUGGGAAAUCCCAGGGAAGUUAGCUGGGUUAAUCACACCUUCUCUGAGGUAUUUUAUGGCCUCCUGCCUAUAAAGAUCUCACAGUGGAUGCAGAGGAACUUAAUGCAUAUUCAUAUCACAAGAGAAAACCAGCAGAGGAUUCCCUCCAAGGCAUUAUUCUUCCUGCCCUGAAGAUUGGCUAAUAUGUGUGGGUCACACUGCUGAGGUCUUUAACAAGUCACAAUCAACCAGACUUUGGGGGCCUCCUCCAGCUUCAGUAUUAAGGCUGGAGGACUGACGCAAGCUCAAAUUGAGUUUCUGGAGCAACGUUGAUAGCAUUAACAGCGGGGGUUACAACUGCAUACUCCUUAAUUUGUACAUCGAUCGGGACUUCAAAUAUCCAUUACUUAGUGUGAAAUCAACAUUAGGGAUAAGAGGCUUUUAGAUACAGUCCUUCUGACCUUAGAAAUGGCGGGAAGUUAAAUGUGACUUCCAAGCCCUGCAUGAAAACUUACUGGGAUGGUGUAAGAAGUAAAAUCUCUCCCCAGAAGCCAGCAGUGAUCUUCAAAAUCCCUGCUUUUAAACAAGCCCAGGAGGGAAUUCAAGAAGAAACACUCCUUUUAAACAUUUUAACUUGGGUAACUUUUUUACCUGUGUGACCACUUUGGAGUCUGUAGCCAACUAAGGAAAUCACUACCCUGGUCUGGUUAUUUGGGCAGCAGGGGACCACAUUAACUGUGCCAAUGAGAGCAUGGGUGAUAGUUCCAUGAUCAGUUAUGUAGGACUGAGCAUAAGAACACUUCCAUGUCUGUGGGAAUGGCUGUUUAUCAAUUACAAAAGAUAAGAAAGGUGGCACACGCCUUUAAUCCCAGCACUUGGGAGGCAGAGGCAGGCGGAUUUCUGAGUUCGAGGCCAGCCUGGCCUACAGGGUGAGUUCCAGGACAGGCAGGACUACACAGAGAAACCAUGUCUCGGAAAAAAGAAAAAAGAAAGAAAGUCACACUCUCCAUCUUGUCUUUAGGUCUGGUCUGUGUAUCAGAGAACUGCAGUUGCCUUUCAUUCAGCAGCUAUGUUUAUUAUCUAACCAAUUUCCUACAACUUCAGUUAGAGAGUUUUCCUUAACAAUGGCUGUUACAAUGUUUUACUCAGAAUAUGACUUCCUGACCUAUUGUUACAAACUCAGAACAGACUGAACUUGAUAAUCAUGUAACAAAGUAUUUUGUAGAUUACAUAUUGAUUUUUUACAAAAUUAAAGAUGUAUUUC